UACGAAGGGGGCUAGCGUUGCUCGGAAUGACUGGGCGUAAAGGGCGCGUAGGCGGUUUGUACAGUCAGAUGUGAAAUUCCUGGGCUUAACCUGGGGGCUGCAUUUGAUACGUGCAGACUUGAGUGAGGAAGAGGGUUGUGGAAUUCCCAGUGUAGAAGGUGAAAUUCGUAGAUAUUGGGAAGAACACCGGUGGCGAAGGCGGCAACCUGGUCCUUGACUGACGCUGAGGCGCGAAAGCGUGGGGAGCAAACAGG
rnacentral:rRNA from 1 species